UGUAGUUACACACGUUUGAUAAGAGUAUAAAUAGAAAAUUGAUACCGAAUUUCUAUUACCUAACAGUUUACUGAGCCUUAAAAAUGUCUCCUUCAAUUUUUACAGUUUUUUCCGCCAUUCUUUUGUUAUCUUUCGUAACAGCUGCACCUGUUCCAGGUUCAAACAUCGAUGGUCUUGUUAAUAAAGCUCUAAAAAUAGCUGACAUCAUUGCUCAUAAAGCUGCACAGUUCGUAGAUGAAAAUACCAGU